CUGUUCUUUUGUUUCGCCCUUGGGGCGGUUGCCGCCCCACAAAUUAAAAUAGCCCGUGCUGUUUUUCUGCUCAAGCUUUGUCUCACCGCCUCUACAUCUAUCACGACGAAGAGGAAGCAUCUGCCACGGACCAUUUGGGGCACUUCUUUCUGCUCUUUUUUUCCUUGCGAAGGGCGAAAACAGAAUGCGAUGUGACGCCUCCUGUGCACACUGAAAAGAUAGAGACUUGAGGUAUUCACCUCCACAGCUUCAUGCUCUCUUUUCCUAUUAGCCUACUCAGCACACUAUUCCAGCGAGACAGCCAAAGAUCAGAGACGUAGAAACGUUUUUUUUUUCCAUAGACGCACCGAUUCCCUCGGCUAGGGUGCAGGCAAAUAGCAGAACAACCUAACGCACUGGUGGCAGCAAGAAGACGGUUAUAAAAUCGAAUAUCCAUACAACUACCUGCACAUAAAUGUAGACGCACACAUACACGCACACACACACACACAAAGCGCUUUCGGUGAAAAGAUGUCUUCUCGAUGGCCUUCAUCUCUCCUCAACGCCACCAACAAGCGGCUCACGGAACGCAUUGAGCAGCUGACGCUUGACCUCGACACCAAACGCAACUCUGUCGCGGAGCAGCGCGAGGUUGUAGCGCUUCUCAAAAAACAUCAGCAUGAAGCUCAGCAGCAAGUCAAGACCACUGCAGAGGCGCUAGAGCGCGAGCGGGCUGCCGUUGAAAACGAUGAGGGCAAACUCAAACAGCUCCAACUAGAAGCUGAGGCGGAUGCGCGACGAGCGCGCCAGUCAAAAGAGGCGGAAACACAGCUCUCUCAAGCCGUCUCCGCUUUGGAGUCGACUUUGGAUCAGCGCUGCCGUGCUUUGAGUGGGCAACGAGAGAUCGCCGUGGAGAUUGAGGAGGAGGCAAGGAAACUGGUAUCGGCGCAUCUCAGCCGCCAGCGCGUGGGGGAUGAGUUGGCUGAUGCACAGCGCGAGCUUUCAUCGACCGUGUGGGCCACGCUCGGUCGCCUCAACGAUCAAGUUCGUGUCGCCACGCGGCGCUUGGAGGAGGUGCGAGGCGAGCGCCUUCAUGCACUGCAGGAGGUCGACGCCAUGCAUCUCGCUUUGCGGCAUGCUGUUAAGGAUCAGGCGGAGAGCUUGCGAGCACUGGAGCUAGUUUACGUGCAGACUUCCCAUCUAGAUGCGCAGGUGCUGGCAAAUGCCAAAUCCAUGGAGAUUCUGGUAGCGGCUGCCCGCGAGAGGAAGAAGCUCCGCGGUGAGCUGCAAGCCACGCUGGAGCGGCUCCGCGGGGAUAACCAGCGCCAAGCACUCGCCCACGAUCUUAAACGCGAGCGGUACGACAAGCAAGUCCAUGCGCUCCAAAAGGCCGUCGCCGCCUUGAGAGAGGACGAAGAGCACUCAGUGAUCUCAAGGCGCUGCGAGCAGGCCGAGGUGCAGCAGCUUUGUCAACAACGUCGAGAGCUCGAGCACGUCAUCCUCUUGUGCGAGGAGAAGAGGCAGCUGCUGGCACAGAAGCAGGCGCGUCGUGCUGCGCUGGAGGGCGCUCGUGCGCUGAUGCAGCGUCAGGAGUCGACCGGGCAGCCGUCACCAGAGGCGCUGCGUGACAUGUUCCUGGCCUUUGAGCAGCAGGAAUCGCUACUGGAAGACCGUGUGGAGCGCACCUGUGCGAAGCUCACCGGGGCAAUUCAGACUUUCAUGGACGAGGGUCGAAGGGGCGAGCACUUCAACGCUGCGGUAGCUGAUAAGAUGAAGGCCAAAUUGUCCCUUGCCUCGGACCAGGAAGCCUCAGAAGGUCACGUACAACUUCUUAGAGAGAGAGGAAGCAAGCUUGAGGAGGCACUGGCGGAGCGGCAGGCAUUGCUCUCCUCGAUGCAGGCAUUGACGUUGGAGCAGCGCGCUCAGCGUCAGGCCUCCUGGCUGCGCGAAAUCGAGCAACUACGCGGCACCCUUCUGCGCGUGCAGCGAGAUCAUCAGCAGCUGCUACAUGACACCGCGACGCUUCGCAGUAGCUGGCAUCACACGCGCAAAACAUUGGAGGAGAAGGGCAUGUCACAGGGAAAGGUGCUGAGCGACUUGCGUCUGCUUGAGGCAGAAGUGUCCCGGCUGGACCAAGAGAUGACAGUCACUCUGGAGGAACACAAUAGCCGGUUGCUCCAGCACGAACAGGCAGGAGUGACACUGCAAUCAUUGAUGAGGGCGGCCGACGCGCAGGUUGAUGCGCUCAAGGAGGCGGCAGGCGCCGAGGCGUACAUUCGAGCUGAGGUGCAGAUUGUGGAGGAGCGGAUUCAGGCCGAUAUGCAAGGCGCCCUUGUUGAGCUGCACCUCAACGAGAACGAAGUGCACGAGCUGAGCGAGGAUUUGCAACGGCAUCGGAGGCAGCUGAAUCUUCUUCGCCUCCGCUACGAGGAGGCGGUGACGUCGAUGGCUCGCGCAGCGCAGAAGCCGCUGAAUGAGAAGGAAGGAGGGGGCAUCUCACUACCUCUGCUCAACAGCGAGAGCGACACUUGCACUCCAGAGGCGGUGCACGCCCAUCUAUUGCUGCGUCGCUCCUAUGAGCGAGAGCAGCUCAUGCAACGCGGCAACUACCUCGAUCUUCGCUUGGUAGCGCUGGAUAAGGAAACAGGCACCCUGCGGCACAUGCUGGAUGGGUUGCGCUCCUCUCGUCGCGUCACAUCGGAACAUGUCAACGCUCUGGGCGAGCUCUCCUCGGCAGCGAAAGAGGCUGGAGCUUCCUCGAUCAAAAACUGCAGCUCACAACUGGGACCUUCGACUCCUUCGUGUCCCACUGCGCUUGUUAAAAAGCAGCUGCUGAGUAGUGCUGAAGCGAGCGAACACUACUGGAGGGCGGAGCUGCAGCUACUAGAUGAGACUUUAGCUGCUAUGAGUCAACAGCGUGAUGACUCGCGGGUGCGGCUGCACGAGAUGCGCGCGACGCUGAAGGAAUUGCAGGACACUGAGAGGCAGAAGCGCAUGCAAGUGCAGAAGCUCCGUGAGAGUGUUCAGCGUUCUCGUAAGCUGGCUAACGUUGUGAGCGUGAAGUGCAGCAGGUAACUGAUCCGUUUCUGUGCACAUGAGUACAUCGCGUUCCUCUGCUGCCUUUCUUGCGCUGUCGCCUCUGGGUAAGGAGCGCUGCACACUCUUAGUGCAGGACAGCACUCUCAAGUGACUCUUUCGUUGUUUUUCCUUUUUCCAUUUUCUCCCUCCGUGCCUCUCUCUUGCUCGGCGCGCUGUCGCGUGGCUCUCCUCGCUUUGGCAUUUCGGGAGGUCCCGCGCAGUGGCUCCGAAAAAGCAGAGGAAGCGAGUUCUGCGUUUCAUGUGCGCGCCUUGAGCAAAUCUCUGCGCUGCCGGUUCCGCUUGUGCACGGCCACUAGCGGAAAUGAGACGCCGAGGGAUGGGGGGAUACUUAAAGACCACUGUGCACACACUUAAUACACGGCAGGCCAAAGAGAAAGCAUGACUCUUUGGGAGGAUGCAAGAUCACAGAGACCUAAAAUGGAGGACGCACGUCUUAUAUCGGCUCUUGCAAGACGGCUUUUCACUUCGCUUAGAAGCGCUUGAUGAGUACCCUCACACUUACACAAACGCCUUGCCUCUGUCUUCCGUUGCAUUCCGGGUUUUGCCAAAG
rnacentral:misc_RNA from 1 species